rnacentral:rRNA from 1 species
AUUGAACGCUGGCGGCAUGCCUUACACAUGCAAGUCGAACGGUAACAGGUCUUCGGAUGCUGACGAGUGGCGAACGGGUGAGUAAUACAUCGGAACGUGCCCGAUCGUGGGGGAUAACGCAGCGAAAGCUGUGCUAAUACCGCAUACGAUCUACGGAUGAAAGCGGGGGAUCGCAAGACCUCGCGCGGACGGAGCGGCCGAUGGCAGAUUAGGUAGUUGGUGGGAUAAAAGCUUACCAAGCCGACGAUCUGUAGCUGGUCUGAGAGGACGACCAGCCACACUGGGACUGAGACACGGCCCAGACUCCUACGGGAGGCAGCAGUGGGGAAUUUUGGACAAUGGGCGCAAGCCUGAUCCAGCCAUGCCGCGUGCAGGAUGAAGGCCUUCGGGUUGUAAACUGCUUUUGUACGGAACGAAAAAGCUCUCUCUAAUACAGGGGGUGAAUGACGGUACCGUAAGAAUAAGCACCGGCUAACUACGUGCCAGCACG